GGUUUUUCGUGAUCCUCAGCCAAGGUACCCACUGCUCGGCCGCCACCCGCAAGUGUAAAGCGCCGCCCCCAUCCUGAUCCAUCAUACCGCCCUCCAGCCUCCGUGCGCCGUCCUCGUGUUCGCUGUUUCUGCUGCUUCUGUACUGCAUGUUAACACCUGAUAUGAAUAUGAAUGUGAAACGAAGUGCAGGUGCUUGGUGUCUUUGUAUUUCUCACCACUGACGAAGGUUACGUUUGUUGGACAUCUUGUUUGACUCGAAGGUAAAUGUUUCGAAUCGCUGGGAGGACACUUGGUGCUUCAGGCCAUCAAAGAGUCAUGAGAGUGGUGGAACAAGACCAGCAGGAGAUCACCGGUGACGACUCCCACCUUAAUAUUACCACGACCAGCCGCCGAUCUUCCAGCUCCCGCACUUGACCUUCGACCCGGCUUACCAGACCCCCUCCCCCUAUGCUUCACGCCCUCACCAGCUGCCGACGCAUAACGCUGAGAUCUUCCGAAGGAGUUGAGCCUCUCACGUAUUCGUCUUUUUAUAAGGUGAUUGUCCCACUGUCUCUCAAGGUUCUCUUGUUGCUGAUGAUUAUUUUGCUUUUAUCUAAUCCUUGACUCCGAGAUGUUUACCUUCAAGCUACUUGCAGGCAAUUCCCGUGUUGUCACUCACUGUCACAUCUCUGAGGAAGCGCGUCACGUGCAGUUUGUUCUUAGUUUCAUCACAGUAAGGUUUUUCUUUUCUUUCUUUUCUUCAUUACGGCUUAUACAGUCAUCACUUCUUAUAAUGCAUCAAUAUUACUGGAUCAGAGAAAUCUCCAUUAAUAUGAUAAUAAAGGCUGGAUCAAAGAGGAGCUGAACUAUUGUGCUCGUGGGCUGUCUGUGCUCAUGAUUUUCGUUCCUCGUGUUCGUCAUUGACAGGAAACAUUUGAAAUACUUUAUUAUCCCUACUAUAGCAAAUACCUAUACUUGAAUACACAUCAAUGUAAUGUGUAGCCAAUCCAUUUGAAUCUAAUGAACAUGAAGAAGAGAUAACUGUAAAUAGUUUUUUUUUAACAUUGUAUAAGUAAUGAGGAGUAUCUGCAAAUAACAUUAACAAAAUUCUAAUAACAAAAUAGAAAUAGCUAGUAUCGUUUUUAAAAGAAGUUAGUGUUAAAAGUGUUUCGAUUUGUUCGGGAAAUGAAUUCCAUAUUUUUUUGGCCUGAAUAAGAAAAGGUUAUUAAUUGUUAUUAAUUCUAUUCCAUAUUUUGCGUGCGUCAUUUUCAAAGUUUGAAAAUAAGGCCGUUACGUGUCCAUAUCACAAGUGGUGAUAAGUAAACUGUACAGCACACAUAUACAUAUGCUCACAUUUGUAGACUCUUGUGCUUGAGAACUGAACUUGUGUCUAACUGCAAUCAUUGGUAAGUGCUGACAUCCAGUGGUGGUGUGCUUCCAAACAAUGUCUACAAUGAAAUAAUCAUGACUGGUUAUCAAACAUACAUAACUUGCACACACACACACACUCACACACACACACACACACACACACACACACACACACACACACACACACACACACACACACACACACAGCUGUGAAGUCUUGAUGAUCUUUUAUGAACAUCCACAAGUGUGAUAUAAUUCUGCACAACAGCUGUGCUCGUUGUGCACAUAUCGGCUACAUGAUGCAAGUCCGCGCCGCGUCAAAUAUGGAGCGAAGAGCCAGACAGAAACUCGCCCUUAGUAAGAGGCUGUCAGGCGGGGAUCACAGUAUUAUUCCCUUCAAACACUCUGUCUGUUGGCCAAAAUAUAUAUGCACACAAACAUGCACCUUGAUACAAUGACAUGAAUUCAUGAGGAUAAAAGUAGACACAAGUGUGUGUGUGUGUGCGUCGACGAUUUGGACGGCAUGAUAUUACCAGUUGAGAAGGUUGGUUUUGAAUGUAUCUAAAUAAAGGAACACAGCAGAGGCUAAUCACUGUAGUCACCGGUACCUUAUCUUCCUUUGUUUUGUCUGAGUGUGCGAUGAACUUUCAUCACGCGGUCGUUUCUUAUCACUCCACUACAGUGCGCUGAUAACCACUGGCUGACCAUGUCAGUGUUUCGACUCACUUGUUGCUCAUCACACUUCUCCUUCCUAGCACAACAUAGCUUCAUUCCGUACAGUUGCCG